UACGUAUGGGGCUAGCGUUGUCCGGAAUCAUUGGGCGUAAAGCGCGCGUAGGCGGCCCGGUAAGUCCGCUGUGAAAGUCAAAGGCUCAACCUUUGAAUGUCAGCGGAUACUGCCGGGCUAGAGUCCGGAAGAGGCGAGUGGAACUCCUGGUGUAGCGGUGGAAUGCGCAGAUAUCAGGAAGAACACCAACGGCGAAGGCAGCUCGCUGGGACGGAACUGACGCUGAGGCGCGAACGCGUGGGGAGCGAACAGG
rnacentral:rRNA from 1 species